GAAGUUGGUCGGAUAGUCGCUGAAUGCAAAUGCAUUAAGAGGAAAGUCCGGGCUCCAUAGAGUGAAGUGCUAGUUAACGGCUAGGCGCAGUGAUGCGACGGAAAGUGCAACAGAAAGAAUACCGCCUAUCUGAUAGGUAAGGGUGCAAUGGUGCGGUAAGAGCGCACCGCACACUUAGCAAUAAGUGUGGCAAGGUAAACCCCACUUGGAGCAAGCUCAAAUAGGAAGGCUUAUGCGUGACUCGCGCUGUCUUCGGGUAGAGUGCUAAAGAUAGUUGGUGACAAUUAUCUUAGAUGAAUGACUAUCAUGACUUAGGUCAAACAGAACCCGGCUUACAGGCCAACUUCAAUU
rnacentral:RNase_P_RNA from 1 species